CCAGCGUCGCAGCCCCUGAGGCCCCUCGGCCUCCGCGCAGCCCGCUCCGCGUCCCCAAUCCCCAGCCCCGUGCCUCCUGCGACUGCCUUGGACUGUUCAGCGCUCCUGGGACUCUCCUCCCUCCCAUCCCCCAUUCUUCGAUCUGUACGUCCGUCUGUCCCACUAUCUGGUUCUGUCCCCACCGGGUAUUGCCCUCACUCUUUCUUUCUUCCCCCUAUUCUCCGCCUCCUCCCCCAUUCUCUCUUUGGUCCCUAAUGCACACACCUCCCAUUCGUCCCCCGCCCUCCUCUGUCCUGACCUGUGCCUUCCUUUGCUGGCUCUUCCCUCCCCCUCCUGCUCCCAGUUUCUUACCCACGGGAGACCCCUGCGGGUUGGUCCAAUAGUGGUUCUGGAAGGGGCUCGGCCUCGGGUCGUGAGAACUGACCCGACUGGAACCACCAUUUUCCAUCCCAGUCCCAUCCCGGUGAGGCAGGCCCACCCAUCCGGCCCUGGGGGACCGACCACAGCUGUGGCUGGGCUGAGGCCAGGGGUAUGGCCAAAGAGGGAAAUUCCCGCAGAGAAAAAGGGGCUGCCUCAGGAUAGGGGACGAGGGGGGGAGUGUCACCGUACCAGGAGAUGUGACGCUGCCAGAGCAGACCAGAGAUUGGGGGGAAGUGCCCCAGAGCUCACGCUGCAGGGAACAGAAGCGCUGCCUCUGAGCACUCCUGCAGAAGGGAACGAGCAUGGGCAGGAGCUCCCUGCAGAGGGUAGGGGACCCUGGCUGCAGCAACUCAGAGCACAGGAAACAGGACGAUAGUGUUAAGGGGAAGCCCACACCAACAGGAAUGAACACUGUCCUGGGAACUUUCACUCCGCAGGAGGCCCCAUCUCUGUGCUCCCGCCCGCCGCCUCCAGUCCCAGACCCCUCCUCCCCUCCUGCCGCUGCUGUUUCCUGUGGCUGAGACUCUCGCUCAGCCAUGAGCUCACCGCCCCUAAUGGGUUGCAGCUGCCUCGCUGCUGAAGCCCCAGCUCCCCUCCUCCCGGCCUUGGAGCUGACGGCCCACUCUGCCUCACCCCCGCCCUUCUCCACCUUCCCCCACCCACGCGCACAGCGCCCGCCGGCCCCGCCGGGUCCCGGGAACACUGGGGGUCUGUCUGUUCGCCCACACACCUUGGGGCCGGGUCUGUGUGCUGACGCACUGAAUGUACGUCUCUGGAGUAGCUGCCUCAGCUUCGCAGACGGUCGGGACCAACCGGCAGCUCUGGCUGGAGGGACUCAGAGAAAAAUAUGCACUUUUGUCUUGGGGCAAACGCAGGGCGCGAGGGGGAGGGGCUGGUAGAAAACUAGGUAAAGGCUGCAUUGAGCAUCCCCCUCCUCAUUUACAGCAAAGAAAUCUAGUAAACGGAACUUCAAAGGC